rnacentral:rRNA from 1 species
UACGGAGGAUGCAAGCGUUAUCCGGAAUGAUUGGGCGUAAAGCGUCCGCAGGUGGCUGUGUAAGUCUGCUGUCAAAGAGCGAAGCUCAACUUCGUAAAGGCAGUGGAAACUACACGGCUAGAGUGCGUUCGGGGCAGAGGGAAUUCCUGGUGUAGCGGUGAAAUGCGUAGAGAUCAGGAAGAACACCGGUGGCGAAGGCGCUCUGCUAGGCCGCAACUGACACUGAGGGACGAAAGCUAGGGGAGCAAACCGGG